CCUACGGUAGUCAGCAGUGGGGAAUAUUGCACAAUGGGGGACACCCUGAUGCAGCGACGCAGCGUGAGUGAAGGAGUAUUUAGGUAUGUAACGCUCUAUCAGCAGGGCAGAUAAUGACGGUAACUGACUAAGAAGCACCGGCUAACUACGUGCCAGCAGCCGCGGUCAUACGUAGGGGGCAAGCGUUCUCCGGAUUUACUGGGUGUAAAGGGAGCGUAGGUGGCAGGGCAAGUCAGAUGUGAACACCCGGGGCUCAACCCCGGGAGUGCAUUUGAAACUGUCCAGAUAGAGUGCAGGAGAGGUAAGCUGAAUUCCUAGUGUAGCGGUGAAAUGCAUAGAUAUUAGGAGGAACACCAGUGGCGAAGGCGGCUUACUGGACUGUAACUGACACUGAGGCUCGAAAGCGUGGGGAGCAAACAGGAUUAGAUACCCGUGUAGUC
rnacentral:rRNA from 1 species